rnacentral:rRNA from 1 species
AACCUGCGGAAGGAUCAUUAUCAAAAGUCAAGUCGGGGGCUGUAAAGCUCUCGUCUACACCCAUGUCUUUUGCGUACUCUUGUUUCCUCGGUGGCGCAAGCUGCCGAUUGGACAAACCAAAACCUUUUUUGUAAUUGCAAUCAGCGUCUGAAAAUAAUCUAAUUAUUUACAACUUUCAACAACGGAUCUCUUGGUUCUGGCAUCGAUGAAGAACGCAGCGAAAUGCGAUAAGUAGUGUGAAUUGCAGAAUUCAGUGAAUCAUCGAAUCUUUGAACGCACAUUGCGCCCCUUGGUAUUCCAUGGGGCAUGCCUGUUCGAGCGUCAUUUGUACCCUCAAGCUUUGCUUGGUGUUGGGCGUCUUGUCGUAUUACGACUCGCCUUAAAUUCAUUGGCAGCCGGCACUUUGGCCUAGGAGCGCAGCACAUUUUGCGAUCGUAGCCCGUUGCACUGGCGUCCAUCAAGAACAUUUACCACGUUUGACCUCGGAUCAGGUAGGGAUAC